rnacentral:rRNA from 1 species
AGAGUUUGAUCCUGGCUCAGGACGAACGCUGGCGGCGUGCCUAAUACAUGCAAGUCGAACGAACGGAAGAAGAGCUUGCUCUUUGGAAGUGAGUGGCGGACGGGUGAGUAACACGUGGGUAACCUGCCCUUCAGUGGGGGAUAACAUCCGGAAACGGGUGCUAAUACCGCAUAGGUUCUCUUUCCACAUGGAAAGAGAAGGAAAGACGGCCUUUGUGCUGUCGCUGAGGGAUGGACCCGCGGCGUAUUAGUUAGUUGGUGGGGUAAAGGCCUACCAAGACCAUGAUACGUAGCCGACCUGAGAGGGUGAUCGGCCACAUUGGGACUGAGACACGGCCCAAACUCCUACGGGAGGCAGCAGUAGGGAAUCUUCCGCAAUGGACGCAAGUCUGACGGAGCAACGCCGCGUGAGUGAAGAAGGUUUUCGGAUCGUAAAACUCUGUUGUCGGAGAAGAACACGUAAGCGAGUAACUGCGCUUACCAUGACGGUACCCGACCAGAAAGCCACGGCUAACUACGUGCCAGCAGCCGCGGUAAU